UAUGUAUUGCUGUUUGGCGGAUGUUUGUUUUAUAUGAAUGAUGGUGAUGAACUUUAGGUAGUUAACUGGGUGAUUUGGUAUAUUUGCAGCCGCACCCAAUUGUAGCAGUAGGCUUGGAUAUUCUUAUCUUAACGCAUUUUAGGGAAGCUGUCACGGAAUUCUUUUACUUAUUUAAAUACGUGGAAUUCCAACUAUUAUGUCAAAACGCACAAACUCGUCGAAAUCUAUCGAAAAUGAUGAACUUGGAGGAGGUACAGAUGAGAUGAAUCCUUUUUCCUUCAAAGAAUUCAUUCGGAACAAAAACCAGUCUUCAAGCAUUAUGGGAUGUGAGGAAGGAAAGAAGAGUGGACUGUUUCAGAAGACCAGGCAAGGAGAGCACUAAUCAGAGAAGCAGCCAAGGGGCCCAUCGUUACUCUGGAGAAGCUGCAGAGAUCCACAGCUCAGGUG